CGGGGCUCCCGGAAGCCUAGCUCUCGGUCGCGCGCUCCGCGCGCCCCGGUCUGGCCCUGCUGGGCCCGGCGAAGAUCUGGGCUCUACGCUCCUGGUGCUGCGGUCCCGCCUGAGUCCGUUUGCGCGUGUAAACGACCUGCCGUCCGCCGUGCGUGGCUUUCCUCGUGGCCCCAAGAGCUACGGCCCGGGGUAGACGUGACUCGAAGACCUUGGGAAGCUGCGCGCGACGGGGAAGGGGCAGCUGUGACCCAGGCCCAGGGGAGCCCCAGCUCCGAGGACUCCACAGCGCGAGGGACAGGCGGCUCAGGUGGGGAGAGGCACCGCGCACUCCCUGUGUGAACACCUUCAGGCCCAUGUCUGUCAGCCUGAGAUCCCAGCGCUCAGGAGGCUGAGGCAGGAGAAUCACCGCAAGUUCAAGGCCAACCUGAACCACACAGCGAGACCCCGUCUCAGAAAAAUGAGACUGUUCCCAAAAGCCCCAAUAAUAAUAAAACAAACAGCUCAUCUCUCCUAAUCUCCACAGCCACCAACAGUAGGGGUAGUUUCGGCCCCCCACGCCCUUGCCUGCUGGGAGAUCCUGGCUCAGGGUGGCACAGAGCCCCACCGUGCUCCGCGGGGACCAGAGACCCAAGGGACAGAGGACAGCUACUCAUUAAAACAUGUUCUGCUGUCACAGACACAAGGACCUCACCCGCUGGUGGGCACAGUGGCAUUCACCAAACGAGGGCCCGGGUUCUGACGCCGGCGGUCGGUCCAGCCCCUCAGCUACUGGCCAGCAGUGGGCCGUGGGCAGUGUGAUUGCCUGCUGAGUACCAGCCGCUCCCUGCAAGCUGAACCAGACUCAGAGCUGCCAAGCACAGCGUCUGGGGCCGACCAUGCCCCACACACGCAUCUCCCCUGCCCGGGGAGCAAGAUCACGACGCCACGGCUCCGGAGGGGACACAGCUGGAGCAGGGACAGCACCCCCGCCUGGGAGGGAGGCUCCGCUCCUGUGUUCAUCCCCGAGACGGCAGCAGGCACUGGAGGGGCAGGGUCUGUCCCAGACCUGAGUCGGUGCCCACCCGGCUCUGAGCACCUGGGGGGGGGGGGCUUCCUGGAGGAGGGGCCCCGUCCCCCAUCACUGGUCAGAGCCCUGGGACCUGAGCCAAAGGCCCAACCCGGGGCUGCACCGCCCAGGGCCUGAGCACGCUGACUUCUCUGCACCCUGCCUGACCCCACACGAAGGCCCUUUUGGCCCCAGAACCUCAGCCUGCAGCCUGGGUCCCUGUGGGUGCCGCCUCUUUGGCAUGGCACGGCUCCCCGGAAAAGGCACGGCCCGUCCCGGGGUGGGGGUGCAGGUGGAGUCACCCCGUAACUGUAGUGACUAAGCUAGGCGGAG
rnacentral:lncRNA from 1 species